GAUGGGGUAGACUGAAGAGAUUUCUGUGGAGAAGAAUUGAAUCCAUCGAAAUAGAAAGAGCCACCCCAGUCUUACUAUUUGCUAUUCAGUUGGACAGCUUGAGGAUUGUCGGAGAUGAUGGAUUUGCGUUAGGUGCUUAAAGAUGGGAUAAAUAAGAGAUUGAAAAAGGCAAACGAAGAGAUAGAGUCCUAGCCGGAGAAUGAAGAGAAACGCCAAAGAAAACUUUGUCGGUUUCGAAAAAGAGAAGACAGAGAAGAGAGAAGAUGGAGAAGCCAUGGAGAAAGAGAAAAUUUGAGAACAAGAGAAACCUAGAAAGAAACUUUUUUUUUCUUUUAUUCACACGGAUUGCUUAACUUUUUAGAAAUAUUUUUAAUUAUUUUGAAAAUGAAAAAUAGAUCAAUUUACCAAACACAUUCGUUUCUUGAACUAAACUAUGAACAUAUAUAGGAAACCACCAAACGGCCCUUAUGGCUGAUUUUCAUCGUACACAGUGAAUUGGUAAAUGAGCUUUAGUGGGCUCUAAUUGGGCCGCUUUUCUUUGGGCCUCUAUUAGUUUAAAUCAGAGUUGGCCGUUAUUUGAUUGGGGGGUCUGGAUGAUCCGAUUUUGUAAGGAAAUGAAUCUGCGUUGGAGUCCCAGAUCUUAGGUGUUGAUUAGCCUUAAAUUUGUUUCAAUUUGAAAACAACAUACCAAUGGUGUUUUUGUUUUUCUUUUGUAGAAAAAUGACAAAUAUUUAAGAGUUUUAAAGUUGAGUUUUUUAUCUUCUGGGCUGAGUUGUAGCACAAUGACAUUUUUGUAAUUAAGUUUAAUAUUCUCGGUUUUAUUUGAGAAAAGGAAGGAGGAGACCGCGUGAGAGGGGCAGACCCAACACACAGUGAGAGAGAAGCACCGGAAAAACAGAGAGAGAGAGAGCAGUUCGACGUUUUUCCGGCGUUCCAACGUGAAGAGAGAGUACCGGCGUCCGACGUUGGUGUGGGUUUGACGGUUUUGACCGGACGUUCACGCGACGGUGAUUCUGACGAAGGCGGCGCGUUCUUCAGUGAGCGUUCCGGCGGAUUUCGAACGGUUUCGGCGGCGUUCUUCCGGUUUCCUUUCGGCGUGUUCGGUGGCAGUCUUGACUGUGGUUUAGCGGUGGGUUUAGCCGCAGUUUCGGGCCGUCAGAGGAGGCGGUUUCCGGUGGGUUUUGGGUCUCGGUAUCACUCAGUUUAAUCAAAUAUUUUUUCUCUAAAUCAAAUCAAUGAGAUAAAAAGUAUCUAUAGACGUAUUUAUAACCUAUAAUUUAUGCAUUAGUAGUAGUAGUCUCGCAAUUUCUGUCUCUCAGUUUCUAAUCCAGAUCUGGCGAACCACCGGCUUCAUUUCAUCUAGAAGAAAAAGAAGAAGGUAGAACCACCGGCUUCAUUUCUUCUGGAAGAAAAGUAAGAAAUUUUCAAUUUUCGGUAUUGAUUUUUAUGUUAGCUUGAAUUUUUGUUUCUUUAUUGUAAAGUUUUAAUUUAUAAUUUUGAAAUACCUAAAUUCUAUUUGUUAUUAAUCCUAAAACUUUUAAAUUGAAAUAAAUCUCAAUUCUUAACAUUUCAUUUGAAAUUUCUAAAUUGAAUUUCCUAUUAAUCUGAAAUUUGGGAUUUCUGUAUGCUUUGGAAAUCGGCUAACAGAAAUUUGGAAUUUGAAUUUGGGUUUGGGUUUGGGUUUUAAUCGACUGCUAGCGGAUCAGGCGGAGGAGAAGGAAAAGGAAACGUCGGUGUUAAUAAUAAUUUGUUAUCAAAUAAAUGGCGCAGGAACACAAGAACCAUGUUUGAAUUGGCCCAUGGAGUGAGAGUCACGUGGAGGCAUAAGUCACGUGGAUUGAGGCAUAAGACAGAUGUUUAUCACUUUAAUAAUGUAGAAGUCAAUGACGUGAGGACUAUUUUACUUAUUUUUUAGGCUUGCCUGAUGAGAUGGCUGCAACGUUUGCUUCCUUAGUCCGUAUGAAAAGUUUCAUAUUAGAUCAGUCAAUCUCUCUGGGUAAUAAGAUCAUUGAAAAUGUCGCUGAUGCAAAAGAGAUACAUCAUAUAGUCAAGCAAAUCUCGCAAAGCUCAUUCCAUCUAUCCAACGUUAGGGAUCGUAUUGAAUAUUAGGGAUCUUAUUGAAAGCACUAAACCAGACAUCCAGAAUCCAUAGAAAAGAGUAAUAUCCACAAAACCUAGAGACAAUGCUAUAUAACCUUUGAGAGAUGAGUAAUUAGACCUACAAUAAAUAAAAGGCCUCGUAUAUUUUCUCUCUUGCCCCUCCUUUUAUAACUAUGCACUCUCUUGUCCUCUCUUCAAGCUUUUAAUUAUAUUUCCUCUCAUGCCUGUUCUUUUAUAAGUAUGUAUAAUUGGGUGUUUAAGAGCACCUUCCACAGUCGGGUUUAGGGUAAGGUGCUCUUAAACUCUCAAUUAUAGAAGAGGGGCAAGAGAGGAAUUAUACUUAUUGAAAAAAAAUACUUAUAAAAGAAGGGGCAAUAGAGGAAAUAUAUUUAAAGCUAAUAGGAGGGGCAAGAGUGGAAAUAUACUUAAACUGCUCAGAGGCUAUUUAUUUGUCGUAGGUCCAAUUGCCCCAUCUCUUAGGUUAUUAAUAUUGUUUUAGGUUUCGUGGAUAUUGCUCUUUUCUAUGAAUUUUGGAUGUUUUGCUCAUUGCUCAGUAUUCUGAAUAUUUUUUAGUCUAUCUUACAUUCUACUAAACCUCGAUUCUUACAAUUGCAACUUCUAGAUGGGACGAGAUUUGCGGACUAUACCAAGUAUCUCUUUUUGUAUCAGCAACAUUCUCAACAAUCUCUUCCUUACAGAUAGACGGGUCUAAUAUGAAACUUCAUUGGAAAACCCUGCAACCAUCUCAAUAGCCAUGUUUAGUUGAAGCAAGCCUUAAAAAAUAACAUAAAAUAGUCCUCAGGUAAUUAGCUUCUACACUAUUCGAGUGUAAACAGCUGUCCUAUGUCUUAUGUCUUAUUGCACGGGCCAAUUCAAGUGCAGUGUUAGAAACACUAACAACAUGGUUCUUGGUCCUGUGCCAUUUAUCUGCCUAAACAAACACACUAUAAAAAAAAUAAUUUGCAACAUUAAAGAAUAACAUUUUUUACAAACAAAAGAUAAAUUAUAUUAUUAUUGUGCAUCGACAUUGUUAGUUGAAUGCUACAAUUGAUUCUUGUUACCUUUAUUUUAAACCUAUUAUUAUGUCGUAGUUGUUGGAUCACAACAUCAGGGCAGUUCAAAUUAAUAUUUAGAAAACCUUUAUUAGUUGCUUUCUGAGCUACCACAACUUCUCCAUUAUGUAUGAACUAUGUGUAGGUGCUACGUGCCAUUCUAUUUUAGAGAGCCAUUUUCCUUUUUUUUUUUCUUAAAACAAUAAUAAUUAAGAAAAACAGAACACUAUGAUAAACCAAGAAAGCUAACUAUCACGAAGAAAACCCUAUAGCUGGAAAAAGUUACAACAUCAAAGAAAUAGAUUAUUAUGGGGUUUGAGGGGGAAAAAAUAACUCGCCGAUUUGGGGAGCCAAUAAAAGACGCGAAGAAGAAGAGAGAAAUCCAACGGGUGAGGAGGAAAUGAGGAGCUGGCAGCGUACGUAGGGUUUAGGGUUAAACAUGAAUUUGAAAUGUUUUUCCUAAAUUUCAAGUCGAAAUUCAUUUGUUAUUUUUAAAACUAAUUAAAAUGAAAAAGGAAGAGAUGGUGGCGUACGUAGGGUUAAAUGUGAAUUUGAAAUGUUUUCUCUAAAUUUCAAGUUGAAAUUGCAAAACAUAAGCUCAAAUUUCAAAUUAAAGCUGAAAGAAGGGGCAAGAGAGUAAAAUAUACUUAAGCUUAUCCGGGUUAAAGAUGUAGGUUUUGUGGAUAUUACUGUUUUCUAUGGAUUUUGGAGAUUUUGCUCAUGGUUUAGUGUUUUGAAUAUUUUUUUUAGUCAAUCUUAUUUUAAUUUGACUUCAUGUCUCCUUGCUCAUUAUUUAGUGUUUUUUUAGGAACCAUGAUUAUCUUUUAACUUUUAUGACAGUGAAUUGAUGAAACCGAACCAACCCAAUCAUUUGUUAUGGGUUGGUUUGAUUUUUUGUUACGGGUUGGUUUGAUUUGAAUUUUAUAAUUUAUUAAGGUUUGUUACGAGUUGGUAUGAUUUGAGUUCAUUUUGUGAUUUAUCUAUGAUUAUGUGUUGAGAGAAUAUGAGUGACGAGUAAGUCUAGUUGAGGAGUUAUGGAGUGGUCGGUAAGCCAUUGAAUUGGCCACGUGCAUGUAGGCAAUCAAUUUAGUUGGCUAGUAGGCAUUGAGUUAGUUUGACUAUCUUAUUGAUAUGGUGUAUUCAGUUGAUAUGCACCAAAGGGGAAAGAGGUGUAUGGAGUAGGUCUACAUUCUAAGGAGCUGAAGUGGGUAGUGGGCUGAGUAAGUGAUACGAUGGAAGAAGUGGACGCAUAGUCUACUUGUGAACCUUAAUCUGAGAUAUGCUUGGAUGCAUGACUUAUUCAGAUUUCGUGAUUAUAAUGAUCUGUUUAUCUAUGGAGUUAUUUUGAACGCAUAGUUCAUUUAACUUCUGAACACCUGGUCAUUGGACAAUCACAAUUUAAAUUGUAGAGGCGUGUCUUACAUGAAUCUGUUAAAUCUAGAUGGACGCAUGGAAUACAUUGUUAUGUAUGAACUUCUAAAUUUGAUAUAAGGUGUCCAAUAGCACUUAAAUGUCUUGUUAUGGAAUGUUUCCUUUGCUUUGCAUAGAAUGCAGAAGUUCUUAGUUACAAAUCGUCAGUCACGGAGCCUUUUGACUCCGUCUUUUCCUCUCUUAGGUAGCAGAAUUUCAGGCGUUUACUGAGCGAAGUUGUCGGCCACUUAGUUAUUUUGAAUCUCAGGUGCUGAUGCAUAGGAGAUAAACUAUACAUUUGAGUUCGGAUUUGGGCAUGCUGUAAUGAUUUCAAAUUGAGACAGCUUAAAUUCAUAUAUUCAUCGAACUUAAGUUAAGUUCGAAACUGAAUGUUUUAUAUUCAAAUACUGAAAAAUGGUAGUUUCCACAUGUAGUUGAGAAAACUCGAUUUUAUAACAAAAUGAACGAGUUUGAUUGCUGUAUUUUCUUCAGCAGAUUUUAGAUUGAAGUUUGUUUGAGUUCUUACUAUGUGACAGCGUGUUGCAGUUUCCAAUGAAUGGUUUUAUAAAGAUCUUCUGCAAA